AUGAACUGGACCUGGAAAAUUCUCUUUCUGGUGGCAGUGGCUGCAAGUGUGAACUCCCAGGUGCAGCUGGUACAGUCAGGGGCUGAGGUUGGAAAACUUGGGACAUCAGUGAAGAUCUCCUGCAAGGCGUCCGGAUACACCUUCACAAACUACGUGAUGCACUGGUUGCGGCAGGCCCUGGGACAAGGAUUUGAGUGGAUGGGAUGGAUACGCCUUAGGGAUGGUGGUACAAACUAUGCACAGAAGUUCCAGGGCAGACUCACACUAACUGCAGACAAAUCCAAGGAAACAGCCUACAUGGAACUGAGCAGGCUGAGCAGUGAGGACACAUCCUUGUAUUACUGUGUGAGAGACACAAUGUGA